UUUCUGUCACCCUUCCUUCCAGCUUUUAACUUUUUUUUUUUUGUGGAUGUGUAUUUGUUUUUACAGUGUAAUGGUGGGAAGCAGACGGGAAGGUGGACGAAGGAACAAGGAUUCAGCUUUUUUUUCUGUUUUUCUUUCUUUUUUCUUUUUUUUUGUCUGCAUUUAUUCUCAUUGUUUAACUCCACCAAAGAGGUGUCAACAUUAUAUGAGAUUGAUGCAUAUUUUAGUCUUGCAGCCAGAUAUUUUAAUAUUUAGUGCAUGUGUGUGGAGGGUGCAGCUUUAAUUUUGUGUGGAUGUGUAUUUGUUUUUACAGUGUAAUGGUGGGAAGCAGACGGGAAGGUGGACGAAGGAACGAGGAUGCAGCUUUAAAUCCUGCCAGGCCUCGGAGGUUGAUCUGCUCUUCAGCUCCUCUUAACGAACCUCUGAAAUCUGUUCUGCUCCGACCGGAGACGAGUCGAUUCGGGGCAGAUUCCAGGGCGGCUCCUCCAUGAGACGAGACAUAUAACCCACAAAGACGAGAGCGAGAAGAACUGGAUCCUAACAAGGAGGAGAAGCAAAAGACCUGAGGAUCAUUUUAGAGAAAAUCAUCUGAAGUUCCUCCAAACCUCCUCAGAACAUCUGGUUCUUCAUCUCCAGUAACUUCUACCUUCAGACUGGGAAUAUUUCCAGCGUUCCAGAGGUGGAUUUUAAUCACAUCUUUGGCUUCAGGAGGACAACAUAUGGCCAGAAAAUUCAAUUUGGCUCAAACGCAUCAUCACCUGGCAGGAAGCUGCGUCGGCCAAUCAGACGCCACACAGGUGUGUGUUUGUUUUCU